rnacentral:rRNA from 1 species
UACAGAGGGUGCGAGCGUUAAUCGGAAUUACUGGGCGUAAAGCGCACGUAGGCGGCGACGUAAGUCGGGUGUGAAAGCCCCGGGCUCAACCUGGGAAUUGCAUUCGAGACUGCAUUGCUGGAGUACGGAAGAGGAAGGCGGAAUUCCCGGUGUAGCGGUGAAAUGCGUAGAUAUCGAGAGGAACACCUGCGGCGAAGGCGGGUUGCUGGGCCGACACUGACGCUGAUGCGCGAAAGCCAGGGGAGCGAACGGG